rnacentral:rRNA from 1 species
GGUGGAGCGAUUUGUCUGGUUUAUUCCGAUAACGAGCGAGACGCACCCCUACUUAAUACACCGUGAAUAAUUUCGUUCACAGGUGUUCUUAGAGGAAUUGGCGGUAUCGAGCCGCACGAAAGUGCGCAAUAACAGGUCUGUGAUGCCCUUAGAUGUUCGGGGCUGCACGCGUGCUACACUGGAGUCUGCAACGUGCUCCAUGGCCGAAGGGUCACUGGUAAACCGUUGAAAAGAUUCCGUGAUCGGGAUAGGGAAUUGCAAUUAUUUCCCUUGAACGAGGAAUUCCUAGUAAGUGUGAGUCAUCAUCUCGCUCUUAAUACGUCCCUGCCCUUUGUAC